rnacentral:rRNA from 1 species
UACGGAGGAGGCAAGCGUUAUCCGGAAUUACUGGGCGUAAAGCGUGCGCAGGCGGCUUUGCAAGACAGAUGUGAAAUCCCCGGGCUUAACCUGGGAACUGCAUUUGUGACUGCAUGGCUGGAGUGCGGCAGAGGGGGAUGGAAUUCCGCGUGUAGCAGUGAAAUGCGUAGAUAUGCGGAGGAACACCGAUGGCGAAGGCAAUCCCCUGGGCCUGCACUGACGCUCAUGCACGAAAGCGUGGGGAGCAAACAGG